GGCGUCCCCGCCCAGGCCCGGGAGACAGAGGCGCUGACCCCGGGACAGAGCCUGGCUUUGUGCGGGAGGCAGACGCGCCCCGCGCGCCGCCCCCGAAACAUUCGCACCCCAUGCUGAGGCGCGCGUCUGGGAGUCCGUGGGCGCCCCGAGAAAUGAAGUUGAAAAUAGCACAGGAGCCCACUAUCACUGUGUGAACAUUUUGUGAAUGAAGACAUGUAUGAAAGGAUGUUUGGAGGCUUCAAGAAACGAAAGCCGAGAGUCUAGCUAGACCAGAGCCAUCCAGCCCAGGAGCGAUGGCCACGUGUGGCCGCUGGACACGAGAGACGUGGCCAGUCCAAACUGUGCAGUGCGGUAAGGGCAGAACACAUGCCAGCUUUCGAAGGCUUAGUAAAGAAUGCAAAAUUUCUCAAUUGGGAAUUUUUGUAUGAAUUUCAGGUUGAAAAAAACAUUUUGGAUAUAUGGUGUUAAAUAAACAUGAUUACAAUGACUUUCGCUGUCAGCCUCCCGGAGGCUCAUUUUGCUCCUCUGGGCCACAGCCAGCUCAGAGGGUUGCUCUAGGAAAUAUCUACACGUUCUUGAAGCACAGGUUUAUGUGCCAGGCACUGUACUAAGUGCUGGGGACACGGCGUUAAGACCAGGCCCUCACGGAGCCCUCACUCUCUGAGGAGGAACAAUAAGUCAGAGAGCGCGCGAGUGCAGCCCUUCAGGCAAAGGAUUUCAGGCCCAGGUCAGGAAGGCCUUGUCUGAGGAGUCUGAGAAGAAGUCAAUUGACAACAGCUAGAACAUCUAGGUCAGGCACUCCAGGCCGACACGACAAAGCAGGUGCAAAGGCCCCAGGGCGGGAACCAGCGUGGCUUGUUCACAGAACAAGGAGGUAGAUCGCUUGCCCUUGGGACCAAAGGAAGGCUCUGGAUUUUAUUCUAGGGGCAGUGGAAGCCGUUGGAGGGCCUCAGGCAGGAACACAAGGUGUCGUGGCAGAAAGGAAGAAGGGGCCGGGCACGGUGGCCCACACCCGUCAUCCCAGCACUUUGGGAGGGAGGCCAAGGCAGGAGGAUCGCUUCAAUCCAGGAGUUCAAGAUCAGCCUGGGCAACACAGCAAGACCCCGUCUCUACUAAAACCCUAAAACUUAGCCAGGCUUGGUGGCAUGUGCCUAAGGUCCCAGGUCCUCGGGAGACUAAGGCAGGAGGAUUGCUUAAGCCCAAGAGUUUGAGGCUGCAGUGAACUAUUAUCACACCACUGCACUCAGCCUGGGUGACAGAGUGACUCUGUCUCAAAACUAAAUAAAUAAACAAUAAUUGUGUUAUUCUGUC
rnacentral:lncRNA from 10 species